UUAAGCGACUAAGCGUACACGGUGGAUGCCCUGGCAGUCAGAGGCGAUGAAGGACGUGCUAAUCUGCGAUAAGCGUCGGUAAGGUGAUAUGAACCGUUAUAACCGGCGAUUUCCGAAUGGGGGAAACCCAGUGUGUUUCGACACACUAUCAUUAACUGAAUCCAUAGGUUAAUGAGGCGAACCGGGGGAACUGAAACAUCUAAGUACCCGAGGAAAAGAAAUCAACCGAGAUUCCCCCAGUAGCGGCGAGCGAACGGGGAGCAGCCCAGAGCCUGAAUCAGUGUGUGUGUUAGUGGAAGCGUCUGGAAAGGCGCGCGAUACAGGGUGACAGCCCCGUACACAAAAAUGCACAUAUUGUGAGCUCGAUGAGUAGGGCGGGACACGUGGUAUCCUGUCUGAAUAUGGGGGGACCAUCCUCCAAGGCUAAAUACUCCUGACUGACCGAUAGUGAACCAGUACCGUGAGGGAAAGGCGAAAAGAACCCCGGCGAGGGGAGUGAAAAAGAACCUGAAACCGUGUACGUACAAGCAGUGGGAGCCUCUUUUAUGGGGUGACUGCGUACCUUUUGUAUAAUGGGUCAGCGACUUAUAUUCUGUAGCAAGGUUAACCGAAUAGGGGAGCCGAAGGGAAACCGAGUCUUAACUGGGCGUUAAGUUGCAGGGUAUAGACCCGAAACCCGGUGAUCUAGCCAUGGGCAGGUUGAAGGUUGGGUAACACUAACUGGAGGACCGAACCGACUAAUGUUGAAAAAUUAGCGGAUGACUUGUGGCUGGGGGUGAAAGGCCAAUCAAACCGGGAGAUAGCUGGUUCUCCCCGAAAGCUAUUUAGGUAGCGCCUCGUGAAUUCAUCUCCGGGGGUAGAGCACUGUUUCGGCAAGGGGGUCAUCCCGACUUACCAACCCGAUGCAAACUGCGAAUACCGGAGAAUGUUAUCACGGGAGACACACGGCGGGUGCUAACGUCCGUCGUGAAGAGGGAAACAACCCAGACCGCCAGCUAAGGUCCCAAAGUCAUGGUUAAGUGGGAAACGAUGUGGGAAGGCCCAGACAGCCAGGAUGUUGGCUUAGAAGCAGCCAUCAUUUAAAGAAAGCGUAAUAGCUCACUGGUCGAGUCGGCCUGCGCGGAAGAUGUAACGGGGCUAAACCAUGCACCGAAGCUGCGGCAGCGACACUAUGUGUUGUUGGGUAGGGGAGCGUUCUGUAAGCCUGUGAAGGUGUGCUGUGAGGCAUGCUGGAGGUAUCAGAAGUGCGAAUGCUGACAUAAGUAACGAUAAAGCGGGUGAAAAGCCCGCUCGCCGGAAGACCAAGGGUUCCUGUCCAACGUUAAUCGGGGCAGGGUGAGUCGACCCCUAAGGCGAGGCCGAAAGGCGUAGUCGAUGGGAAACAGGUUAAUAUUCCUGUACUUGGUGUUACUGCGAAGGGGGGACGGAGAAGGCUAUGUUGGCCGGGCGACGGUUGUCCCGGUUUAAGCGUGUAGGCUGGUUUUCCAGGCAAAUCCGGAAAAUCAAGGCUGAGGCGUGAUGACGAGGCACUACGGUGCUGAAGCAACAAAUGCCCUGCUUCCAGGAAAAGCCUCUAAGCAUCAGGUAACAUCAAAUCGUACCCCAAACCGACACAGGUGGUCAGGUAGAGAAUACCAAGGCGCUUGAGAGAACUCGGGUGAAGGAACUAGGCAAAAUGGUGCCGUAACUUCGGGAGAAGGCACGCUGAUAUGUAGGUGAAGCGACUUGCUCGUGGAGCUGAAAUCAGUCGAAGAUACCAGCUGGCUGCAACUGUUUAUUAAAAACACAGCACUGUGCAAACACGAAAGUGGACGUAUACGGUGUGACGCCUGCCCGGUGCCGGAAGGUUAAUUGAUGGGGUUAGCGCAAGCGAAGCUCUUGAUCGAAGCCCCGGUAAACGGCGGCCGUAACUAUAACGGUCCUAAGGUAGCGAAAUUCCUUGUCGGGUAAGUUCCGACCUGCACGAAUGGCGUAAUGAUGGCCAGGCUGUCUCCACCCGAGACUCAGUGAAAUUGAACUCGCUGUGAAGAUGCAGUGUACCCGCGGCAAGACGGAAAGACCCCGUGAACCUUUACUAUAGCUUGACACUGAACAUUGAGCCUUGAUGUGUAGGAUAGGUGGGAGGCUUUGAAGUGUGGACGCCAGUCUGCAUGGAGCCGACCUUGAAAUACCACCCUUUAAUGUUUGAUGUUCUAACGUUGACCCGUGAUCCGGGUUGCGGACAGUGUCUGGUGGGUAGUUUGACUGGGGCGGUCUCCUCCUAAAGAGUAACGGAGGAGCACGAAGGUUGGCUAAUCCUGGUCGGACAUCAGGAGGUUAGUGCAAUGGCAUAAGCCAGCUUGACUGCGAGCGUGACGGCGCGAGCAGGUGCGAAAGCAGGUCAUAGUGAUCCGGUGGUUCUGAAUGGAAGGGCCAUCGCUCAACGGAUAAAAGGUACUCCGGGGAUAACAGGCUGAUACCGCCCAAGAGUUCAUAUCGACGGCGGUGUUUGGCACCUCGAUGUCGGCUCAUCACAUCCUGGGGCUGAAGUAGGUCCCAAGGGUAUGGCUGUUCGCCAUUUAAAGUGGUACGCGAGCUGGGUUUAGAACGUCGUGAGACAGUUCGGUCCCUAUCUGCCGUGGGCGCUGGAGAACUGAGGGGGGCUGCUCCUAGUACGAGAGGACCGGAGUGGACGCAUCACUGGUGUUCGGGUUGUCAUGCCAAUGGCACUGCCCGGUAGCUAAAUGCGGAAGAGAUAAGUGCUGAAAGCAUCUAAGCACGAAACUUGCCCCGAGAUGAGUUCUCCCUGACCCUUUAAGGGUCCUGAAGGAACGUUGAAGACGACGACGUUGAUAGGCCGGGUGUGUAAGCGCAGCGAUGCGUUGAGCUAACCGGUACUAAUGAACCGUGAGGCUUAACCUU
rnacentral:rRNA from 1 species